GACGAACGCUGGCGGCGUGCCUAACACAUGCAAGUCGAGCGAAUGAAGUUCCUUCGGGAAUGGAUUUAGCGGCGGACGGGUGAGUAACACGUGGGCAACCUGCCUCAUAGAGGGGAAUAGCCUUCCGAAAGGGAGAUUAAUACCGCAUAAGAUUGUAGUAUCGCAUGAUACAGCAAUUAAAGGAGCAAUCCGCUAUGAGAUGGGCCCGCGGCGCAUUAGCUAGUUGGUGAGGUAACGGCCCACCAAGGCGACGAUGCGUAGCCGACCUGAGAGGGUGAUCGGCGACAUUGGGACUGAGACACGGCCCAGACUCCUACGGGAGGCAGCAGUGGGGAAUAUUGCACAAUGGGGGAAACCCUGAUGCAGCAACGCCGCGUGAGUGAUGACGGCCUUCGGGUUGUAAAGCUCUGUCUUCAGGGACGAUAAUGACGGUACCUGAGGAGGAAGCCACGGCUAACUACGUG
rnacentral:rRNA from 1 species